rnacentral:rRNA from 1 species
UACGUAGGGCGCAAGCGUUGUCCGGAAUUAUUGGGCGUAAAGGGCUCGUAGGCGGUUCGUCACGUCGGGAGUGAAAACUCGGAGCUCAACUCCGAGCCUGCUUCCGAUACGGGCAGACUAGAGGUAGGCAGGGGAGAGCGGAACUCCUGGUGUAGCGGUGGAAUGCGCAGAUAUCAGGAAGAACACCGGUGGCGAAGGCGGCUCUCUGGGCCUUACCUGACGCUGAGGAGCGAAAGCGUGGGUAGCGAACAGG